UCACAAAUAUUAAAUAAAAUCAGAUAUUACGACCAAUAGUUUAAAAUUUAAAGAUUCUGGCGGUGUUCUAUAAAACCAGGGGAACCUGUUUUAUAAUUCGAUAGUCCACGACUAGCUAACCCUCGUUUGAAAAAUCAGCUUGUAUACUGCCGUUUUAAGCUUACCUUUUAAAAGUAAGUAAGCCACAAUGAUAAAGAUUUUUUUUUUUUUUUCAUAUACAUCAGGUCAAAGUGCAGCUAAUGUGAGGGAAAAUAAUGGGUUACAAUCCUGAAAUGGAAUGAAUUAUAGAUUGAAAAUCUUUAUGAAAUCGGACUUGGAGGUAAUUGUUGAUUAAUAAAAAUAAAUGAAUAUUUAUUUAGGACAUGUACAUAUCGCCC
rnacentral:rRNA from 1 species